UACAGAGGUCUCAAGCGUUGUUCGGAUUCAUUGGCGUAAAGGGUGUGUAGGUGGCGCGCUAAGUCGGGUGUGAAAUUUCGGAGCUUAACUCCGAAACUGCAUUCGAUACUGGCGUGCUUGAGGACUGGAGAGGAGACUGGAAUUCAUGGUGUAGCAGUGAAAUGCGUAGAGAUCAUGAGGAAGACCAGUGGCGAAGGCGGGUCUCUGGACAGUUUCCUGACACUGAGACACGAAGGCCAGGGGAGCAAACGGG
rnacentral:rRNA from 1 species